rnacentral:rRNA from 1 species
UACGAAGGGGGUUAGCGUUGCUCGGAAUUACUGGGCGUAAAGGGCGCGUAGGCGGAUAUCUAAGUUGGGGGUGAAAUCCCGGGGCUCAACCUCGGAAUUGCCUUCAAAACUGGAUAUCUUGAGUUCGGGAGAGGUGAGUGGAACUCCGAGUGUAGAGGUGAAAUUCGUAGAUAUUCGGAAGAACACCAGUGGCGAAGGCGACUCACUGGCCCGAUACUGACGCUGAGGCGCGAAAGCGUGGGGAGCAAACAGGG